CAGCCGUAAACUAUGCGCGUUAGGUGUGCUGGUGACCACGUGUCACCGGGGUGCCGAAGGGAAACCGUGAAACGUGCCGCCUGGGAAGUACGGUCGCGAGGCUGAAACUUAAAGGAAUUGGCGGGGAGCACCACAACGGGUGGAGCCUGCGGUUUAGUUGGACUCAACGCCGGAAAUCUCACCGGAUAGGACAGACAAAUAGAUUGCCGGGCUGAAGACUCUGCAUGACUAGCUGAGAGGUGGUGCAUGGCGUAGACGUCU
rnacentral:rRNA from 1 species